UGGAAUGUGGGAGGGGCAUGCG
rnacentral:miRNA from 1 species